rnacentral:pre_miRNA from 1 species
AUACAAAUCUCCUGGAGAUCUUGUUAUAAUGCAGAUUCUGAUUCAGUAGGACUGGGUGAGGCCUGAGAUUCUGCAUUUCUAAAAAACUCCCAGGUGAUGUUGAU